CAGUCGCCACGGUAAUACGUAGGGGGCAAGCGUUGUCCGGAAUUAUUGGGCGUAAAGCGCGCGCAGGCGGUUCGUUAAGACAGAUGUGAAAUCCCCGGGCUUAACCUGGGAACUGCAUUUGUGACUGGCGAGCUAGAGUAUGGCAGAGGGGGGUAGAAUUCCACGUGUAGCAGUGAAAUGCGUAGAGAUGUGGAGGAAUACCGAUGGCGAAGGCAGCCCCCUGGGCCAAUACUGACGCUCAUGCACGAAAGCGUGGGGAGCAAACAGGAUUAGAUACCCCCGUAGUCCCUGUCUCUUAUAC
rnacentral:rRNA from 1 species